GCCUACGUCCAGGUAAUGUCAGAGUUUGAGGACACUGCUGGCAACACUCUUUGAGUGAAAAACUUAUUCCUCUUGAGAGUGCCAAGGUAGUUCUGCCCAGUAAUGAGAUCACGCCAUUUGUGCGAGCUCCUCCCUUCCACAGCCUUUGUAUCUGUGGACCUGUUUCAAACAAAAAAGAUCUGAAAAAUCUGGGUCCAACAGGGGUCACAAAUAGGAGUGACAGGCUGCCCAGAGCUCUGCUUGGGAAGAGGACAUCUGCAAAUGGAUGUGUAUGAACUGAUGGAUCACAGACCGACUUGUCAGGAAGAGGCAGAAGAUGCAAACACCGCAGGAUGAUGUUGACUAUGAGAAGACCAGGAGAUGUACAACACUGAAGGAGAACUGUGCCCUUGCUGAGAGCCAGCAGGCCCAGACACAGAAGGAGCUUGUGAACCAAGCUGCCAGAUGUUGCUGGAAGAGAAAAUGCCAGAAGAAAGCUUCAAGAAAAUUUGAGAUUAAAUUAAGAAGAUUUGUAAAUAAAUCUCACUUCUGUUCAUGGUGUCCUUAACAUCAGGUUCUUUCUAUCGGGUUGGAGAUUAGGGCAGCCACCGCCAAGUGGGAUCCCCAUCAACUUCCAACUUCCUUGUCCCGUCUGGGCAUUUUCUCCAGCUUUCUGCUCUUUUCUGGCCAAAGGAAGGAUAUUACCUCUGCUCACCACAUCCUCCCUGCCAACCACUUGUGUCCUUUUCCCAGGAUUUUUGGAGAGGACACCAUCUCCCUUCCCUGCAGAUGUCUCAGCCUGACCCAAAGCACGGCAGCCAGGCCGGAGCAAACUGGUGGCAUUUCUCUUUGUUGUUUGGCCAAAUCCUUUCAAAUGAACGUAACAUAUUAACAUACAACCAGCUGUGAGCAAAAUGCAUACCAUCUGUCACAGCAAUUUAAAACCACUGUUCUCAUGGACUGACUUCUUGGAAGUUAUUGUAAGUGCCGUGGAUCAAGUUAGAACAGGAGUCUGGACUUUGCAGUUACUUUAGGGAUGCCUCUUCUAGGGCAAAUAAGUGCAUUUCCAGUGAGCAUAAGCACUGACGUCAAUGAUCCUUCAAGGCUGGGGUGUCAGACUACUUUAGAGGCUAAAUGAACUGGCAGAAAGCCUACAGAGCCCAGGAGGUCAUGUGUAUGUGCAAGGUCCCAGGCCCUGCCACGUCAGAGACUGUGGGAGUUGGAAAUGAAGGGCGAUGGAUGCUUUGAGCUGACCCACUCUUGCUGUCCAGCUCUGUCCAGAUACUGCUGCUAGCUCUGGGGACCUGGCACUAGAAUGCCUUUCAGAAACCUGGGUUCAAUUUAGGCCUUGAAUAGGUUACACAGCUUGCUUUGGGCUCCUGAAGUGUUCAGAGGACAACUUGUAAACAAGUAUGCAGCUUGUGCUGCUGUAGGUAGGGUGCAUAGAGGUUCAGAGACCUGCAGCAAAACAUACCAAGAGGAAAAGAGGAAAUAAUUGUUUCAAACUAGAACAGGGGAAAUUUGGACUGGAGAUAAGGAAAGGUUUUUUUACAAUGGGAGUGGUGAGGGCAAUGAAACAUGCUGCCUAGAGAAGCCCUAUCCCUGGACACAUGCAGGGUCAGGCAGGACAGGGCUCUAAGCACCCUGCUCUAGCGGUAGGUGUCCUUUUUCAUUGCAGGGCAAUUGGAAUACAUGACCUUUAAGGGUCCCUUCCAACUCAAUGGGCUUUAUGGUUCUAAAGUUCUAUGUUCCUAACUCUGCAGGAAAGUGUGAGGUACUCAUACCUCGGAGAGUGACCUCUUGCAGACCAUCUCUGUCAGCCUGCCCUGCUGAGUUGGGAUGAUCUUUUUCCCCUAGCACAAUCCUCCAGGCCUCAGGAGCAAAGUAUGGCUGAUUUGGGAUCUUCGGUGGGACAGGCUUGUGUCUGCAGGCAGAACAAACACGUCUUCACUCCUUUCCUUCCAUGUGCUGUCCUCUGGAUCCUGUUGCAGAGGCACUGAACAGUACUACCUUGACUGGUCAUUUUUGAGCAUAUUCAUUGUGCACUAACCUAAAUUUCUGCUGUUGCAUUACUUUUUCUAACUUCUUCAGUUCCAAACUGCAAGAUCCUUAUGGAGAUCUAAGUACACGGUGGCAACAUUAUGGCCUUUACCAACAACAUUUGUAAUCUCAACAGGAAGAUGUAUGUUUGUUUGACAAGAGCUAUUUCUCAUGUACCUGUUGCAAAUAAAUGUGUUUUCUGCUGCCCCUUUACUCCCA
ensembl:lncRNA